UUAGAUACCCUGCUAUACUCAGAUUAAAAGUUUUGCACCAGGGUAAUAAACAGUUAUUUUCUUGAAACCCAAAGAGUUUGGCGGUAGCUCAGCCUAGUUAGAGGAGCUUGUUCGGUAAACGAUAAUCCCCGAAAAAUCUUACGUGUUCUUGUAGGCAGUUUAUAUACCGUCGUUGUCAGACAAUGCUAAAAGGCAAACAAUUGUCUUAAUAUGAAUUAAGCAUAGUAUAUCAGAUCAAGGUGUAACUUAUGGACGCGAGUUGAAUGAGCUACAAUUUAAAUUAUAAACUACGAAAAGUGGUUUUAAAGUAAUCAGUGGAAGGUGGAUUUAAUUGUAAUCUUAAUUUUAGUAAGUUAGGAUGAUAUUAGCUCUGAGAUAUGUACACAUCGCCCGUCG
rnacentral:rRNA from 1 species